GUGGGUAAAACGGUUGGAGCCUGCUUAUUGGAGCUCGCUCCAUCCAUCUGAUAUGUCUGUCUGUCUGUCUGUCUGUCUGUCUGUCUGUCUGUCUGUCUGUCUGUCUGUGUGAAUGUCUGAACUUAUGUGUAUGUGUGAAGCUGUUUGAGUUUCCUGCUUUCUACACUCAGUGUGUGUGUGUGUGUGUGUGUGUGUGUGUGUGUGUGUGUGUGUGUGGUGUCUGUGUGUGUUUGUGUGUGAUUUCCCCCUCUCCCCUUUACUCUUUGCAUUUUGCAGGAUUCAGCAACCCUCUCUCGGUCAAAGGGAGUGCCUCCCCUUCCCCAAUAAGUGAAACUUUAUUCCCUUAGAGAAAAGUGGCUUGGCCAUUCUACCAACUACCUGUAGCUGAUGUGACAAUGGUUCAAGGCAAGGCAGCCAAGGGUUCAGCAACCCUCGCUCGGUCAAAGGGAGUGCUUCCCCUUCCCCAAUAAGUGAAACUUUAUUCCCUUAGAGAAAAGUGGCUUGGCCAUUCUACCAACUACCUGUAGCUGAUGUGACAAUGGUUCAAGGCAAGGCAGCCA
rnacentral:lncRNA from 1 species